GCCAUCUUGGGCUGAGUGUCCGCGGCUGUAGCGCUUCCCCACGCGCAGUGCGCUGAGGUGCCGGCGCAGCCAUUUUGCCCCAGGAACUCUGGUCUGAAGGGCUGGGUGCGAGGCCUCCGCCCGAGGCAGCCUGUGAGCCACUGACACCAGAUGAAGCACAAAGGAAAACAAAAAGAUAAUAAAGAUGUCAAGUCGCUGCAUGUGAUCCUUGCUGGGAAGGAAAGGGACCAUGGUGUCAUGAGAGGGGCUUUGGGUGACCUGACCUGGGUCCUGGACCAAGAUCUGGGGAUGAGGAGAGACACAGAAGAAUCCUCGUGGAGGUGACGUUUCACCUGAGACAUGCCAGGUACCUGGUCUGAUUGCCAAGCAUCCAAGGAGGCCCCUGGGCGUGUUUGGAGGCUGGAGCCAUCAGCCUCAGAUUUCAGCACCAAGCUCUGUCCUCAAGAUCCUUCUCCAAUUGCUUGGACGAACUCAAGCCACCAGUGACACUUUGAACACAUUGCUCUGCUUUGAUCUACUGCUUCAGAGAUGAUGGCGUUCCUUUACAUACUUCAUCAAGCGACAGGCUUACCCAGCGGAAUGCAAAGGCCCAGGGAACUGGGGACCUCGUUUAGUUCCCUGGAGCCCAGUGGCACCAGCACUACGUGGUACAGAGUCACCACUAGUCGACCUUGGUCGGGUGGAUGCAGUGUCUGUCUGCAGAAUGCGUGGUGGAGAUGGUUCUGGAAUCUCCUGGAAGACACAGCUGAUAAGGACAUAUUCGCAGCAUCUGGACUGUUUCAACAUGGGGUCUCUGGAAGGUGAUGGGAAGGGCCUGCAGGACCACUUAAGACCCCAUCAGACUGAUUCUUUGGUUAGGAGUUAUCACUGCUUCCUGAACUCCCCAAGUCACCAUUCCUCAGGUUUUGUUUGCCCUUUGCCCAAGGAUUCCCUUCGAAAGCUCCAUCUGGCUUAGAACCUGACAGACCGCACUGGCUCCAGCCUCCAAGGUGAGAAUUCAGGAAGCAAACGUCGCUUGAGUGCUUGAAGCAUGCCAGGCAUUGUGCCAGCUCUGGGAUUCGUCAGGGGACAGGACACAGGUGUCCCCAUCUUUACAUGUUAGUGGAGGGUGAGAGAGUGAAGAUGCAAACUUGCAAAUGAACAUACUUGCAGCACCCUGAAGGAAAUGCAUGCGUCAGGGGAUUGUCAGAACGGGUGGGAGCCACUGAAACAGCGUGAUGAAGGAGGCCUCUCUGGGGAGGUGACAUGUGAGUUCUGAAGGGCAAGGAAGACGGGAUUACCCUUGGAGUGGCUCUGUAGCAGAGGUGGCGUCUGUCUCCCUGAGGCUCCCAGGAUGCAGAGGGGAGCAGGAUACUCCUGACCAAGCCAAGGACUGCUUAGUCUCGAGGAUAGAGAGUUGCUUCAAAGAUGUACAAAGAAUGAAAACCACACAAGUAGUUCUCCUGGGCAUCCAUGGGCUAGAAGGAAUCAAGGGUGUGUUCUCAAAGAGGAGGCCUCUGUUCCCCGGGUUACUUCAUGGUCAGAAGUGGUGGCCCCAGCUCCAGCGCGUCCCGCUAUCCAGCCCUCAGGAAAGAGGAAGAGAUGGAGCCGAAUGGGGACAAGGGAACACUCCAGGUUUCUUCUAAGGAAGUUUCCAUUUUUACUCCUUCAGUUAUAAGCCAUCCUUGGCUGCAACUUUUUUUCUGACAGGUUCAGGAUUUUAAAACUUGAUUGACAAAUACUAUGUAAUAAUCGCUGAUUAACAGUUAAUAUUUAACUAGUGAUUACCAUGUGCCAAGUACACUUUAAAAAAAAAAGUAUUUAUUCCACAUAUGUAGCUCUCAAAGCAAUCCCAUUGUGGUUACUAAAUAAUGUCUCCUUGAAGAUGGCCAUGUCCUCAUCUCCAGAACCUGUGAAUAUGUUGUUGUGCCUGGAGAAGGAAACGUCGCAGGUGUGAUAGAAGGCUCUUGAGCUGGGUCGACUGGCCUGGAUUAUCCAGGUGGGCUCAGGGCCAUCGCAGGAGGCCGAGGAAGAAAAGACACAGUGCUGCUUGCUUUCAGGUUGGAAGAAGGGAUCUUGAGCCAAGAAGUGCAGUCUGUCUGCAGAAGCCAGAAAAGGGAAGGACACGGGUUCUCCCUGAGAGCCUGUAGAAGGAGUGUGGUGUUGUGGAAUGAUUGUAGACUUCUGACCUCCAGUGUGUUCUUUUUAGCCGCUAAGUGUGUGGCAGUCUGUUACAGCAGCCAUUGGAAACAGUACCCCUGUCAUGUAGAUACUGUUAUCCCCACUCACAAAGGAGGAAAUUGAAGCAUAGAGAGGCUUAGUCACUUGCUCAAGAUCACACAGCUCACUGGUGGGGGAAAGUGCAGACCUGAAGCCGGCAGUCCUGCUCUGGAGACUACCUCAUAGCCACUGCUUACUUCAUGGAAUGAAUACGCAUGUGGUCUGUAUGGGGGUUGCUUUGAUUUUGUUUACCUUUUUUUUUUUUUUUCCUCGCUUUUUAGGGCCACGCCCUUGGCAUAUGGAGGUUCCCAGGCUAGGGGUCAAAUCGGAGCUACAGCUCCUGGUCUACAUCACAGCCAAAAAAUAUAUUUCAAAUAUAUUUCAAAAUAUGAAACUUUAUUUCAUAUUUUGCAGAAUUUAAAACACAUCUGAAAGCAAAGAGACUGAUGUGAUGCAGUCCCAUGUACCCAGUGCUCACCCUCAAUGCCUAUGGCCUAACUUGUUUCACCUACAGCCUCCUCUCCUCCCCCCCCCUUUAUUUAUUUAUUUGAAGUGAAUCCCAAAUAUUGUAUCACUUAAUUUGUACAUUUUUCUAAAAAAGUCUCUUUUGUAUCAUAAUCACCAUCUCUAAAAUUCUGAUUUUUAAUACUUUAAUAUCAUCAAAUGCCCAGUUUUCAAAUUUACCCAAUUGUGUCUUCUUUCCAUUUGGUUUCUUUGAAUUAGGAUCCAAACAAGGUCUAUAUAUUUCCUUUAAUUCAUGUGUCUUUUGAGUUUGUUUUAGUUUAUAAAGGAACCGUUCAGGAGUUCCCGUCGUGGUGCAGUGGUCAACGAAUCUGACUAGGAACCGUGAGGUUGUGGGUUCAG